UUCUGAUCUCCGCCGCUAUGGCUCUCUCCUUUUCCUAUCUCCUUCUCCCUCACUUUCUCUGCUAAAAACUGGUAUCAUUAGAUUAAUUCAUGUAUCUCUUAUUUGUUGUUAAAUUGAAGAUAAUACAUCUCCAUCAAUCUGAUCAAUUCAACUAAGGCUAGCAGAUAAACCUCGAUUGGUUGCAACUUGCAAGCUUCAAUUAUCAUCACACUGUCGAUUAUAUAGGGCUUUUCAUUGAUGUUUCAAAGCCAUGGGAGCACGAACUAAUCAAUUACAGUCUUCCUCGGAAGCCGGUAUUGGAUGUCAAGCAAACAACAGAAUAAGCAGACCUCAACUCAGUUUUCAGAAAUUUUAGGACUGACUAUGAACAAGAUCUAGUGUGAUGGUUAUACACUCCUUAGCUUGAAGGGAAAAUGGAAGGCGGAACAUAUUGACAUCCUAGGUACUAACAAGAAAUGUUGACAUUCAAAGGCCUUAAGUCCCACCCACUGCUCAAGGCAUUGACUUUAAAUUGGUGCAAUAUGAAUCAUAUAAUGCCCAAUACU